AGCUGGAUGGACAAAUAAGGAUGAAAGACUCCAGGACUUUGCUACAGCGAAAUCUUCAGCUGUAAUCCAUUCCAGGACCUCCUGAUCAGAGAUUGGGGCCUCCCAUAUUGGGGUACUGGCUAAUGCCAUCGACACAGAAGAACAGAGUCUUUUCUCCGCUUCCAGCACCUCACAACUGCCUUUUCUCCCUGAGAACCACUCUAAAAAUACUACUCUAAAAAUACAGCUCACUCCGCCCCAUAGGGCACAGGUACCAUCCCAUCAUAACACACUUCGCUCACCCAUCCAGCCCCCUGCUUUCUUCCCUUCGAGGCCUGCAUUUUAAAGCAUUAGCAAACAUACAUUCAAAACCCCAUGUUAAUUUGCAGAACUAAAACACAAUAUAUUUACACAGCAGAACAUUACAGCCACCUAGUGAGUUAAUGGGAGAAAGGCAAAGAAGGGGGCAGCGUGCUUCGUAGCGUCUGUGCCAGCUCUUUGCAGAAAAGGACUCUUGCACGGAGAUUGCCAAUUUUGACUCAGAGGACUCUAUUUUGCCACUAGAAACUCCCAUCACAGCCUGGAACACCAGCUAGUGGCGUGGAGGAUUCCAGCUCAUUGAUGCCCAAGGGAAGGAUCAUCGCCAAACAACAGGCACCAAGAUCGAACAAACAGGAGCCAAAAUAAGACUCCACACAAGACGUCCCAGCACAGGUGAAGGGCAGCGAAGUUCCGCAUGGAUCAGGCCUGGGACAUCCUGGACUUCCACAUUCGGCAGAAAAGGAUUCAGCAAGAGUGGGGAAUGCCGUCCCUUGUGCAUGCCUUUGUCCCCAUUCCACUGGAAUUUAAUUUAAUUUAAUUUAUUACAUUUAUAUUCUGCCCUCCCUGCUUUCGCAGGCUCAGGAAGCGAGACCAGGAGCAUAUAUGGCUCCUCAGAGCCUGGCUGAGGGAGGACAAGCUGGUUCUCAGGCAGCACUACCUGUUGUGGAAGUGAGGGGGUGCCUUUCCAUGAGUUGCCAUUUUUGGAUCCAGGAGGGCCGGGAAGCCCAUGUAAAUAGUCUGACCGCAGAACACAGAUGGCGUCUUCCAAAACUUGUGCAAAUGUCAGCAAGCUCUUUUCUGCCUCCUGCAUCACCACAAGCUGAAGAAAUCAAGAAAUUCCCAGUACACCUACAGUCGGAAUCUCUCCAGUUCCCUAAGAUAGAACCCCAAAGGAUGUCAGAAAGACCAGUGGAGAAACCCUGUAGUAAAAGACAUGUUUCAAGGCAGCUAUGGAAGGAGAAAGCCCAUAGUCCCUCACCUGUGCUCUCAGAGGUUGCACAAUGCCUCUGGUAGCAAGAUUACCAUUUGGCACGGGCACAAGGAAGAAAACCAAAUGAGAAUCUCUCAGGAUACUCUACUGACAAACCUAGAUCAACUGCAAAAAACCUACAGCGGUAGUAUCAAUAGCAAAGUACUGAAAACACUUAGUAAUAUAUACAAAUCAUUUAUGAUUGAUAACACUCAACAACAAGGAAUCACAACACAGUCACAAGUUCUCCAAGCAUUUCAGUGACAUAUGUAGAACAAUUCUUCCUUCAGUCUUUAGAGGGGAAUCCCAGAAGCCACAGGCAGGCGGGGAAGCCAACUCCCUGGCUGAAGAUCCUCCAGUGGAGAAGCAAGAUGUGUUGUGAGAAGGUUGCAGCUAUCAACAGCUCAGCAGGGCGCAAGCUUGACUCCUGUUUCAGUGUUGCUUUUUCAAGAGUGUUGACAACCAACAAACAUAUUCAUAGUUCUACAAUAAAUACAAAACUU